UUCCAGCUGAGUCUCAAAUAGGACUAAACGCGCGUUCUGGAU
rnacentral:hammerhead_ribozyme from 1 species